AGUGCCUUUAUGUUGGCAAUGAAAAUUCAGUCCCUUUUGGAAACCAAUGCACCGGGGAUGGAAACGGUCCGAGGCCCCAGCAACCCUCCCGCGGCUGCCCGACAAAGGCUGAACUAAUCAUUAACUGCAGAGGCAAAGCGAGGUCUGUUCCCUCCGCCCGAGCCCAGGCAGCAGCCGCCAAGGGAGAGCGGAGAGACAGACCCACUCACCCCACUCCGUCCUGCCGCCUGGUCUCUCGCAAACACGGACACUCAGCCUCUGGGUCCGCUCAUUCCGGCAGAGAGACGACCACGCGCUCGCUCUCCACAGCCUCCCUGCUGCCUCUUCUUCCCAUCAAAGACACACACAGCUCACCCUGGAUCCUCUCAAGCGCCUGCCUCCUUCCCGUCACAGUUCUUCUCUCCCAUCACUAGCUGCUGCGCUCCUACACACCCACCCUGUAUCCUCUCACAUCUGCCUCAACCCAUCCCACCGGCGCAGGCUCCACAGGAUACACCCUCAGCUCAAUGCAAUAGUACUUCAGUGGCAGGGCGAGCCACACGGUGCAGUGUAAAAACCUGAGGUCUGGACAGGGCUUCCCAGUGUGUUUCUGCUUUUAUCCCAUGGCCCUUGGUCCUUACUGUUGUUUACCCCAUCCCCUGGCAGGUGGUUAUGUGUGAUGAGUCACUAUCUAUGGCUCUUACUGCUGUAGUAUCUGACUUGCUCACACUAUUUAAUGCGUCUUUCCUGCCAACAUCCUUAUGAGGUAGGGAUCUGCUAUUAUCCCCCUUUUAGCGAUGAGGAACUGAGAGACUAAGGCUACGUCUUCACUACCUGCCUGAAUCGGCGGGGAGAAAUCGAUCUCUCGGGGAUCGAAUUAUCGCAUCUCGUCGGGACGCGACAAUCGAUCCCCGAAUCAACGCUUGUACUCCACCAGCCCAGGUAGGAGUAAGCACCGUCGAUGGGGGAGCCGCGGAGGUCGAUUUGCCACCGUUCUCACAGCGGGGUAAGUCGCUCGGAUACGUCGAAUUCAGCUACGCUAUUUGCGUAGCUGAAUUUGCGUAUCUUAAAUCGAUCCUUCCCCGCCCCCCCCCGGUAGUGAGGACGUAGCCUAAGGGUGACACUUUCAAAAGCACCUAAGGUGAGUUCCUAGCCCCUAUUGAAAGUCAAUGGGAUGGGAGUUAGGUACCUAAGUCACUUAGGCACUUUUUAAAAUGCCUCCCUAAAUGGUUUACUUAAGGCCACACAGGAACACACAAGAAGCCUGGGGUGGAGCAAGGAAUUAAAUUUAUAUAUCCCACAGAUCGGGCUAGCAGCUUAAUUUUUGAGCCAUCCUUCCUCUUUUAUUGCUUGUUUUUCUUCUGGCAGCUUUUAUUUUCUUUUCUUUUCUUUAAUGAAAAAUAUUUUAUCUUGGUUGAUAAUUACAGGAAAGAUCUUUCUCAAACUCUCUUGUGUGUCACACAUUGGAAUAUAAGAACGGCCAUACAGGGUCAGACCAAGGGUCCCUCUAGCCCAGUAUCCUGUCUUCCGACAGUGGACAAUGCCAGGUGCCCCGGAGGGAAUGAACAGAACACGUAAUCGUCAAGUGAUCCAUCCCCUAUCACCCAUUCCCAGCUUUGGUGUCUCAAUUUCUUCUCUGUCCCAUUGGUUCCCAUCUGGGGUUGAAUGGUGCUUCAGGACUUCCAGUUUUCAUGUCUAGUUUGUAUUCAUGGAUUCUGCACUUGGUAAGAGUCCAGUUUAGCUUUGUGUUUCACUGUAGUGAGGGUAGUCUGCUGUGAUAGCUCUGCACAAGGGUUUGUAGCAGUCUAAAGGGUUGAUUUCUUCCCAGUGUUUCAUAUAUUGUUAUUAUGUAGGGUCUAGCAUCUUGAGCAUUUUCAGAUUUUUCACUCCAUUGGUUGGGAGGUUAGGGCUGUUGAGAGCAGGAAAUACAAGAGUGGAUUACGCCUCUGUAGUUAUUUGGGUUGAGAACCUCUUCAUUUUUGAGUACUGGGGCCGGCUUUUAUGUACUAGGGUACUUAUUACUUGUUUCACAAUAUGCAUAUUCAUGUUGCUGAACUGUAGGUCCAUUAUGGCCCCUUUGCUAUGCUAAGGGUAAAUCUGCCCAAGGAGCCCCUCUUGUUCUACCAUUGAGAACAUUUUCCGUAUAUUAGCAGUUUCUUCCCAUUUGUGUUGAUGGUGAUGCUCAACAAUCCCUAUUUUAAUGGGGUGUUACGAUAAGGUACAUCAUCUCUAAAUCCGUUUAUCUCCCUUUGUAGAGAUGGAAUCCAGUUCCCUGCUUGUACAGUCACUUACGGCUUAUGUACUACAUCUGAGAGAGACAGCUAUCACCAGUGCAAGUGCUUUGAAGUGCUAAUUUCGUUUAUUUUCUAGUCUGCUGCUCUUUCACUCUUUUCUUGCCUACCCCUUUACUGCUGGUCACUGUUGCUAAACAUGACUUCCAACCACAGGACAGGUGAAAAGUUCCCCAUGAAAACCACUGUCAGCAUUGCUCUCUCCACUGAUCUCAAAGCGCUCAGCAUGCAGUGGGCAAUCUGCUGCUGUAAAUUAGUGUGAAGGUGGAAAAAACCCAGCAAAAGCCCACAUUAAUCACACUAUCCAGGCCAAUAAUCACAAAACAGGAGGGCCAGACUGUAGUUGACAAAACAAGAAACAAACAAACAUCAAACACUAAUUGUUUAUUUUAAGACCCUACUAACUACAAAUAAAAGUGUGAAUGCCCCAUGGCA
ensembl:lncRNA